rnacentral:rRNA from 1 species
AGUGAACGCUGGCGGCAUGCUUUACACAUGCAAGUCGAACGGUAACAGGCCGCAAGGUGCUGACGAGUGGCGAACGGGUGAGUAAUGCAUCGGAACGUGCCCAGUCGUGGGGGAUAACGCAGCGAAAGCUGUGCUAAUACCGCAUACGAUCUAUGGAUGAAAGCGGGGGACCGUAAGGCCUCGCGCGAUUGGAGCGGCCGAUGUCAGAUUAGGUAGUUGGUGGGGUAAAGGCCUACCAAGCCGACGAUCUGUAGCUGGUCUGAGAGGACGACCAGCCACACUGGGACUGAGUCACGGCCCAGACUCCUACGGGAGGCAGCAGUGGGGAAUUUUGGACAAUGGGCGCAAGCCUGAUCCAGCAAUGCCGCGUGCAGGAAGAAGGCCUUCGGGUUGUAAACUGCUUUUGUACGGAACGAAACGGUCUGGGUUAAUACCCUGGGCUAAUGACGGUACCGUAAGAAUAAGCACCGGCUAACUACGUGCCAGCAGCCGCGGUAA